rnacentral:lncRNA from 1 species
GUCACUGCCCACCCCCCACAUGGAGAGGAGGGGAGGCUUAUCCGGCAGGUAAAUUUGGGAAGAACUGAGCUGUGCCCUGCUCCUUGUACCCUUCCUUGUUGGGGGGGCAGAGGAGGGGGCUGUUCUCUGCUCCUGGAUUGGAAUUGGAAGAUUCACUUUACUCUGGGGUCAGUGUUGGGAAGCCCAGGGGCCCACAGAUAGUGAGACUGACCAGCAAUAAAGGUGGCGUUUUGGCUCCCAUCUGCGCCACAGACUGGAUGUGUGUCCUUCCCCUGCUUACAUGCACAUGUUGAAACCUAACCCCCGAUGAGACGGUAUUAGGAGAUGGGGCCUUUGAGAGGUGCUUAGGUCAUAAGGUGGAGCCUGCACGAGUGGACACAGUGCUAGGACUGCUAGGACACAGACGUCAGCAGCUGCGAAGAGGCCUGGCCUGGCCGUGCUGCACCCUCAUCUCUGCCUUUCAGCCUCCAGAAUGGUGAGAAAAACACUUCCUUUGCUUAUCAGUCACCCAGUCUAGGGUUUUUGUUACAGCAGCCCAGAUGGACUAAGACCACCUGCUCAAUCGUUUGUUUCUCAGAUGAAUAAGAACUCUCUGCCAGGGAAGAGACCUUCCCCAAAACCCCUCACGGGGGACGCUGGUUUUAGUGAUGUCUGCUUUCUAAGUGAGAGCCAUGAUUCAGGAUUGGAGAUGGUGUUUCUUCUCAGUUCUUUGUCCCACAUUUACUUGCUUGGAAUCUGCUCUGUGCCUGGCACUGCACCGGGCACCCUUUAGAUAAGGAUGAGCCCUGAAAAGUGGGAGCAGACGGCUUAAUGGAGCCUCGUUGUGACUCACCCCAGUGGGAAGGUUGAGGCACCUGCCUUGGGGGAAUCCACAGCCAAGAUAAAGCAUCACCCACCAGGCGUGGGGAUGGUCGAGCGUCACCAGAAUGAUGCAGGGUGGAAGGCACACGCCACAGCUCCCUCACUCUAGAAGGAUGUUUUUGAGAAGUCUACCUGCUCCCCAGAGGCAUGGGGCAGCCUAGUUCUCUCUUCCCCUCUUUUCUUUCUUCGCUCUCAAUUCCCCAUCUGUGAGUCACUCGGUAUCAGUCCACUAAACUCUUCUCAGCCCAUGUCAGCAGGAACCAGCUGGCUUUGUGGGGGAAAAUACCAACCCAGCUGUCUGCACAAGGAUGGUAAGAAUUAGAACCUUGGGUCCCAUACCUCCAGCUCACAUCUGGAGAAACUGAAGGGGAGACUUUGAAAUUUGGGGUCAAGGAAGCCUUGUAGCUUUUUGAUUAACAGCACGAGUUCUUGAGUCACCUGGCCUGGAAGAAAAAGCCCACCUCGGCCGUUUAGUUACUGAUUGAUUUCGACCCAUCACUUCACUCACCAAGCUUCAGCUCCUCCUCUCUGACUAUAGGACAAGAUCAGUACCACGCUCCUAAGGCCAGCGAUGCUGCAAAAUGCAUAAUAACCUUUGGUUGUUAUUUUAGUGAUGAUUCUUCUAGAUUUCUCCUGAGAAGUCAUGCAAAACAGGAAUGUGAAUUGCAAAAAAGAUGCUGAGCAGGAAGGCACCAAAGAAAGCCUUUCUCCAAAGGGGAUGUUUAUUUCAGAGGCACACAGGGGGAAGCUCCACCAGCUGUUUUCCAGGAAAUCAUCCACUUCACCCAGGGAGGCGCUGCUGAGGAGUGUGAGUGAGGUCCCGCCUGACCCCAGCUAGUGGGCUGCUGCCUUCUUCUGGCUUCCGUGAGUCAAAGGGACAUGAAAACCACAACAUGAGGUUUAACUGCGAAGCCCCGCUCCCCGCCCAUCCCCUUCGCCUCUUGAGUUUCAUUUUACUGGUCCCGUCCCAACAGAUGGCUCUUCUUAAAGCAGCAUCGCCAGUGUGUAAUUCUUCUUAAUGACAGGAGAGCCAAUUUUAUUCUCUCCUGGAAAUUAAUUUCUCUUCCAUUUCUCUCUUCCCCUCCACCCCUCUCUCUGUUCCUGUGAUGAUUUCUUUCGGAAAUAAUUCCCCUUGCACGCGACCUCCACAAACCUCUGAAUCCCCGCAGAUGGAGCAAGGCUGCUCUUGCGAGGGAACGGAGGGCAGGAGGCAUGUCCUGUGCUCUGCGGUUUUGUUCCUGGAGGAGGAGGACAUGGGGACAGCUCUAGGACUAAGGGUUCAUCUUUUCAUCUAUGUUUACUUCUCAGGAGACCCCAGCCCCAUGGUCUUAAAUUUUUCAUUGAAGUAUAGUUGGUUUACAAUGUUCCUUCAGUUUCUACUGUACAGCAAAGUGACCCAGCCACACACACACACACAAACACACACACACACAUUGUUUUUUUUUUUUUUUUUCUUCAUACUAGCUACUAUGUUUUUUGCCUCCUUGGCUCUGCACAUGUGUUCUCUACAUAAUAUUAAACAGUAACCUUUGUGUCUCCCACAUUCUGGGGUGCUCCAGACACACACACCACAUUUUUCAACCACGCACACAUGCACGCACAAGAGUGGAACCCGUACUGGCUGACCCAGGGCAAAAUCAAACAACUUUUAACUGCUAAGUUGACUUUACCUUUUUUAACACCUUAAUUGAGACAUAAUUUACGUGCCAUAAAAUUCACCCAUUUUAAGUGUGUGAUUCAAUGGCUUUUUAAGUUUACUGAGUUGUAUCCUGGCUGUUUUCUUUCUUGCAAACGGAGCCACUGGAUGAACACUCUCACCCCCUGAGCUCCCUCCCCACUUGGAAAUGUGACAGUUAAAGAGCAGGUUCUGUUUCCCCCCCCCCCCCCAAGUAGUUUUUAUUCAUUCUGCCAUUUACAACUUACUUCCUGUGUUUUGAUUCUGAGCUGCUCAGGCCUACUUCUUAGAAGCCAAGUGGAUUAGUUUUUACACUGUCAAGAAGUUUCUCUUGUGUCAGAGGAGUUUUCUGGGUUUUUUGUUUGUUUUGUUAAUCUUCAGAUCUUUGCUUCAUCUGCUGAGGUAAUGACAGAGAGACCUGAAAAUGUUAUCUUUGUGAUAUGAAAGACUAUACAGAAAUAUUUGGUAUUUAGAGCUCAACUAAAAGGUUCAUAGCAUUCUGACUGUUGGGAUUGGUGGAAGAAAAAAAAAGAUAUUUAGACUAUAAAUAGGGCAUGGAGGCCUAGAACUUUUUCCUAAUAUUAAAAUCUGCAUAUAUAGAUUUCAGUUUUGACAUCUGUUUUCUCAUUUGAAAAACAGACAUGAAAAUAACCACUUUAGGAGAUUUGCCUGAGGAUCACAUGAUUCAUGUGAAAACAGCUAGAAUGCUAAUGAUUUUUUAAAUCUAUAAAUGUUCAUGGAACACCAAUCUUGAGGAACUUCACUAAUGGAAUAAGAAUACUGUUUUGGCCACGGUAUGUUAAUAAAAGCGAAGGGCCUGCUACUGGAGAGCAUGUACCAGUUUAGCCAAUCGCUCACUAAGGAGGUAAUGAGGCUUGCUGUGUGCCAGGCCCCAGGGACUGAGUGGUGGACAGGCAGGCAGAGUCAGGUGGCAGACAGGUGUCUAACGUAGAGCUGAGCAAAGAAGUACGUACGAACUGUGCAAGUGCUGGGGAAGAAACUAUUCUGGGGUAUGUGUGUGUGUUUGAAGCAAUUUAAGAGAAUGCAUUUUUUGCUAGUAAAUGUAUAUACCUAUAGGCCGAGAAAAAUUUCCUGGAACAAUUCAUGAGGAAUUGGUGACGAGGGUUUCUUUUUGUGACAGGAACCAGAAAGGGAGAGAGAGGGACAUCUUCUGCUUUUGAUUCUAUAACUUUUCCGUACAUUUUGAAGUUUCUAACUAUAGGCACAUAUUUUUAUUAUGUUUUUUAAUAAGUUUAUUUAUUUAUUAUUUUGUCUUUUGAGGGUCGCACUCGCAGUCUAUGGAAUUUCCCAGGCCAGGGGUUGAAUUGGAGCUGUAGCUGCCGGUCUACGCCACAGCCACGCCAGAUCUGAGCCACAUCUGUGACCUACACCACAGCUCAUGGCAACGCCGGAUCCUUAACCCACUGUGCAAGGCCAGGGAUCAAACCUGGGUCUUCAUGAAUACUAGUCAGGCUUGUUACCCCUGAGCCAUGAUGGGAACUCUCUAUUAUUUGUUUUCUUAUUUAAAUAUCAGCAGGGCUUUUCUGAUCAAUAAGCUGAGAAUCCAUUUUUAUCUUCUUCAUUAGAUUUUAUUUAAAAAAAACCUGUUAAAGUGAAUAAAUGAUUAACUGCCUGAAAUAUUUAACUUGCCAUGCCAAGCCAAUUAAAUAUAAUGUUACACUUGAAAAGACAAAGGUCAUUUAAAGAGUGCAAGAAUUCCUCAACCCACACCAAACUGCUACCAGCCUGCUAGUGCCCACAAAGUUUGCCCGGACAAUAACCCUUUUAUUCAACAGAUAUCUGAGUGCCUACUGUGUACCAGGCAUUGUUCUGAGUACCAGUAGAUAAAACAAAGCUCACAGGGAGUCACAGACUAGAUUCAAGUUGGAGGAAACACAAUUAGUAAGUAGACAUUAUAUACAAACAUGUAACAAGUGCUGCAUUGAAAAAUUAAAGAAGGGCUGGGUGGCGAGUGACCGGUGGAGAUGGAGGGUGUGCACAGAACACAUGCCACAGUCGCAUCACUGCAGAGAAAGGUCAGGAGGCCUGAGGAGGCAGAGACUUCAGCAGUGACCUGGAUGGAGGCAAGGAAGGGAUGAGCCACACCAAGAGCUGAAGGACGGACCAGGAAAGGCCCUGAAAUGGGAGAGCUGGAAACCAUUAUCGGUCUUAAGGAACAGGAUCCUGGGACGCGUUGUGUGCAGUCUGCUCUGAGACGCUGACCAGCAGGAGCGCACUCUGACAGGCCAGCGAUGGCAGACCUCAACCAAAUAAAAGUUAUGCAAAGGCAAGCUGGAAAAUCUGCACAGGGGAGAUUUCACCAAGAGGAGAGGGGCCUGAUAUUUUCCGUCUAAAUCCUUAGGCCUCACUCCAGCCUACAAAGACAAGUGGCAGGAAACUUAACAGCGAUAAUCAAAUGAGCUCAGCCAGCCUCGGGAUGGUUCUUGUAAGAACUGUGUGUGUGGAGAAGGGAUGCAGGCUUUCUGCCCAGGAGAACCUAGAGAGAAAAAACUGCUCUUCCCAAAAUCCCUGAAGUCUGCUGCCAGGGGCUCAGUACAUGCCUGACCAAAAAGAGAAAACUGCCCACCUAACCGGUUCGGCUGUUUCCUGGCUACUACGGACAGAAGCAGACAGAACCUUAUCAUUUCAGUUAUGUCUAACUUGGACAUUAUUUUCAAGUAAAUAUUGGUAAUUUCAAGGCUCUUUCCUUGCCGUGUGACCUGGCGUGACGGACAAUGCUGUCUCCGAGGAAGUUGACUCCAUAGCAACAAGCCAGGGAAGCCUGCACCUUCCACCCAGGGGGCCUCCCACGAGCAUUUUGGAGACUCGGGACUUUGCAGUUAUCUUGUCAGGGGGUGGCUGAGGGAAGAAGCUUCUUCCUUUGCCCUCUGGGCCCCUCCCAGCGGUCUGGGUUUCUGUGGAUCACUCUGUGCUUCUCAAUGAAUCCAGCGCUGGGCAUUUUUCUCUUUUCAUUCAGGAAGUGGUGAGCUGAGCCCUGAGAUUCUUUCUGCUCCGAUGAUAUAAACAAAUUGUAGAGGAAGUCAAGUCAAAUUUUCCCUUGCUGGUUUUGUUCUCCCAACUAGCAAUUCAGAAAACAGAGCCAACUUUUUUUUUUUUUUUUUUUUUUUUUUUUUGGAUGCCCUUUAAAGAUUGCUGUUAACUGGAAAGACAAGAAACCCUUGUAGUUAAAAAAAAAAAAAAAUACUAAAUUUAUUUUUCAGAAAAGAAAUACCUU